ensembl:processed_transcript
CCGCGUUGUGUAUAGCUGUAAAAUUUGAGAAAUUAGAAGUAAAACAAGCAGUUGAAACUUGAUUUAGUUGUUGUAAUAUACUAUUGUCCGUACUCAAACCCCCAAUCGCGUUUGGACCAAGGACAGGAAUCGUCUGAAGCACAGAUCUGAUUAGGCUGUAUUUUUUUUUUUGGUUCAUAAGUGAUUUUUCUUCAACUAUAACUACUAUAUUUCUUGGUUGGGUUUUUUUUUGUGUGUUCUUUUCCUCUGUUUUUGUUGUUCCAUCUUCUCUGUUCGUGAUCCUGACACCUGACAUUUGGAGUGUGGAGUUCUAGAAGUCCAAAGUAUUCUUGUUUCUGCCAUCUUGGAGGACAUUCGCUGUUGGUGGAAACUGGCGAGCCGCCCGGUUUUAUGGAACCAAUAUUUCGUGUUGCCCAAUUCAUCUGAUUGGUAGGAAAUUUGAGUUUAUAUUUUCCAUCGUCUAUCGGACACAGGAACGACUGGAAGC